UACGUAGGUGGCAAGCGUUGUCCGGAUUUAUUGGGUUUAAAGGGUGCGUAGGCGGCCUUAUAAGUCAGUGCUGAAAUAUCCCGGCUUAACCGGGAGGGUGGCAUUGAUACUGCAAGGCUUGAGUGUAGUCGAGGUAGGCGGAAUUGACGGUGUAGCGGUGAAAUGCUUAGAUAUCGUCAAGAACACCGAUAGUGUAGACAGCUUACUAGGCUACAACUGACGCUGAGGCGCGAAAGCGUGGGGAGCAAACAGG
rnacentral:rRNA from 1 species